UCCGGUUUAGCACCGGCAGUCUUUCCAGAGUCCCCGGCAUUACCCGCUGGCAACUGAAAACAGGGGUUGCGCUCGUUGCGGCACUUAAGCCAACACCUCACGGCACGAGCUGACGACAGCCAUGCAGCACCUGUGCUAGCCCCUUACGGACACGGGCUUUCACCCGCUUUAACUAGCAUGCCAAGCCUAGGUAAGGUUCUUCGCGUUGCAUCGAAUUAAUCCACAUCAUCCACCGCUUGUGCGGGUCCCCGUCAAUUCCUUUGAGUUUUAAUCUUGCGACCGUACUCCCCAGGCGGUCUACUUCCCGCGUUAGCUGCGUUACCAAGGAAAUUAAUCCCCGACAACUAGUAGACAUCGUUUACGGCGUGGACUAC
rnacentral:misc_RNA from 1 species